AUCUUUUGUUAUUGUGGUUUAUAGCAUCUUUUGCAGUUGGUUGUGGUUAUAAAAAAUUGUUUAUAUGAGCAGAAUUUUUUUGCGCAGAAUUAUACGAGCAGAAUUUUUUUGAUCUGUUAUUGUGUGCUCUCAUCUUUUGUUAUUGUGGUUUACAGCAUUUUUUGCAGUUGUUUGUGGUUAUAAGAAUUGUUUAUAUGAGCAGAAUUUUUUUGUGCAGAGUUAUAUGAGCAGAAUUUUUUUGAUGAUCUGUUAUUGUGUGCUCUCAUCUUUUGUUAUUGUGGUUUACAGCAUCUUUUGCAGCUGGAUUCCCAACUUUUGUGUUUGUGUGCUCUCAUCCAAUACUUCUCUCUAUUUCUCUGUUUGUGUGCUUUCAUCCAACCACAUCAUCGCUGUACUGCUGUUCAAUCAACAGGACCACCAGCUGUUGUUCUCAGGGAAGAGGUCGCAGUCCACCUGAUGAAUUUAGAUUAAGUUUUGGAACUAAAAUUUGGCAAUAUUAUAUGUUAUGUUAUGUGAUGUUGUGUGUGUGUGUGUGUGUCUUUGCCCAGGAAUCUGUUAUGUUAUGUGAUGUUGUGUGUGAGCGUGUGUCUUUGACAGUAUGUGAUGAUUUCGAUGGCUUCUAUUGGGAAUCAAUAUAUAUAUAUAUAUUUUAAAUCUAAAUUUUGUUUUC